AAGAGAAUUCAAGUAAUAAGACAAACUUUUUUUUCUCCCAACAUUGAAUUUAGAGUCACCAGUUUGGGCUCUGUUAAGCCUUUUUGCACCAGGAGCAAAGUUUACACUAGAUGCAGUUUGCACCUGUUUUUAAGAUAGGUAUUAAACAUUUUGAGACUAAAAUGACACAGUAGUGUAUAGUGCCCUACUUGAAAACAAAUGUAUGUAGAAAAAAUACAAUUUGAGUUUUUGGUGUUUAACCCUUUCUGGGGGGGAAACGGGUUCAGCCUUUGAAUUUUCACUCUGAUGUUUUUUUUGUAGAAACAUGUUUAUCUAUGUAUUACACAAAUUCUCCAAAUCAUGGUUUAUCUUUUCAUUCACCUCUUUUCUAUAGAAGCCAUUCUCUGGGUAAAGACAGGGGAGAAGUUUACCAUAAAGUGCUCCACCACUCUAAAAGACCAGGAAGGAAUGUACCUGUAUGUUGGGCUGGACAGGGACAGAGAGGUGCUGUAUUACUACCAGCGUGACUCUAAGCUGUCCCCCAGGAAAGGCUACUGGGACAGAGUGAAGACUGAGGGACCUGUGGACCAACUGACCAUCACCGUCAGUAACCUGACCAUAGAGGACACAGGAGUCUACUGGUGUGUUUAGACAAAUGUCAACAAAUCCACGUUCAAAAAUUUGAUCAUCCAAGGCAAAGGCUCCACUCUGGUGGUGGUGAAUGACAAUGUCCUACAGCUGCCAUGUCCUACAGCUACUGCAGUAACGCUGACCCCCUUUCACCCUGCCAAUGAGAAGCCGUGCCCAUCUGGCGUGGUAAACAUCAUCAUCAUUAGCAUCUUGACCAUCCUGCUGUGUGUCAUCUUCCUCAUCUGGGUUGCUCCACUGGUGAAGAGGUGCUGUAAACAGGGAGGAUCCACACCCCAGGUCAUUCCUGAGAGUGUCUAUGAAGACAUGGCCAGGUAUCACACUUGUCCACCUGACACACAGGUAGAAUCGUACCUCUAUUCUGUGUCUUCCAAAGGAGGAAGUAGGACCACUGAGUAGCUUCUUCAAAUGUUUUUUCUGAGUAUUGCUUCUUUACUUUCUCAGAAUUGAAACAUUGGACAUUUUCCACAUGUGACGCACACACACAAAUAAAAGUAAAGACUCAACGCUCGCUCGCUCACCAUUUAUUUAUUUAUUUUUCUCAAUAAAUAAGACAACUAUAGUGCUUUUCACUUUGGCACUAAAUGUCCAAUUUUGGGCCGCCAGUUGAAUAUCCCUGUUUUAGUCCAUAAGGUGUACAGUUGAUAGCGAUGGAGGCCUACCUAUACCUUUUUUUCAAUACAUCAGGUCAUAAGUUUUACAUUGGUUUUUAGUUUGAAACAGUGCUGUGGUGAGUAAUGUUUUUAGGUCACUGUCACUGGACCACUCAGGAAGCUGUUCCAGUGCAUGGGGUCUGCCAUACAGUCAGAAGAGCUAACGUUAAAAUGAGAACAGUUUGUUAAGACCUUUAUUAUAUUUGAUCACAGGUACAAAUAUUUUAGCUGCCUAAAUUUGAUCAGGUACAUCGGGAUAUAAGCCUACGAGUCAGUUUCAACUUCCUAAAAAUUAUUUACACUUUGAAUACCAGUUCACGUGUAAAAUAUGAUUUGGGGUGAGAAACAUAUUCACACUGUUUAUUGCCUUUUAAUCAAAAUAUUGGUACAUAAUUAAUAGUCAUGUGAUAUUCAACUUGUGUAUUCCUGUUUAUGUUAUAUUUGUAUACAGUUGAAGUCAGAAGUUUACAUACACUUAGUUGACUGUGCCUUUAAACAGCUUGGAAAAUUC